rnacentral:lncRNA from 1 species
AUGUGGAGGUGGUCGGUGGUCCGCGGGGGCAACGAGUUGCAGUCCCGGGGUGGAAAACCGGUCCCGGCGCACAUGGCGCGGGGGGUGGGGGGAGGAAGAUCGGGACCGGGCCACAGACUAAUGCGAGGGGCGAGAAAUGGGCACUGCUGGGGGCUAGGGCGGCUAGAAUUGGGGAGCCGGCGCAGGGGGUGGGGUGGGGGGAGCCGGAGGGGCGGCGGGCGCAUGCGCCCUGCGCGGCCGUGCCAUAUUGGAAUGAGGCGGAGAGCGGAGCGCCGCCGCCGCCGCCGCCACCGCCGGAGCGCGGGGUGGAGGGAGGGGGGCGGGGAGGGGAGAGCAGCGCCGCGCUCGCAGCGCAGCCCAGCCCGGCCCGGCCGCCUGCCCGGCUCCGUGCCUCCCCGCCCAGCAGGAAGGAGAGCCGCGAGCCGGCUCGGAGCGGGGAGGCAGGCAGGAAGAAAGAAAAAGAAAACCCCAACAACUCCCGGCAGGAGUAAGGGCAAUCCUUGGUCAAGAUGGAUCUUCAAGUGAAUUAUGUUGAAAGAGCAAUUAAUAUGUAUGCUAACCUAAACUACUUUACUUUUUUCUUUUUGAAAAAAAUUUUUAGUCAAUUUAGAGCAUUAUUCUUUGGUUACAAGAAUCAUAACCCCCCCCCCCCCCCCAAACACACUAGCCAAUACACAUGUGUCCUUGAUCAGAACCUAUUUCCAUGUUGUUGAUGUUUGCACUAGGAUGAUCAUUUAGAGUCUAUAUCACCAAUCAUAUUCCCUACCCCCCCACCCCCACCCCCACCCCCACCCCCACCCCCACCCCGGCCCCCAUGUAAUCAAGCAGUUGUUUUUCUUUGGUGUUUCUGCUCCCACGGUUUUUCCUUUGGAUAUGGUUAGUGUCCUUUCUAGUAAAUCCCUUUUAGUUGUUCAGGAUCACUGCAUUGCCACUAAAGGAGAAGUCCAUUCCAUGCCACAGUGUAUCAGUCUCUGUGUAGAAUGUUCUCCUGGUUCUGUUCCUUUUACUCUGCAUCAAUUCCUGGAGGUUGUUCCAGUUCACAUGGAAUUCCUUUAGUGCAUAUUCCUUUCAGCACAAUAGUAUUCCAUCACCAACAGAUACUACAAUUUGUUCAACCAUUCCCUAAUUGAAGGACAUCCCCUCAUUUUCCAAUUUUUUGCCACCACAAAGAGCGCAGCUAUGAAUAUUCUUGUACAAGUCUUUUUCCUUAUUAUCUUUUUGGGCUAUAAACCCAGCAGUGCUAUGGAUCAAAGGGCAGUCAGUCUUUUAGCUCCCUUUGGGCAUAGUUCCAAAUGACCUUCCAGAAUGGUUGGAUCAGUUCACAACUCUACCAGCAAUGCAUUAAUGUCCCAACUUUGCCACAUCCCCUCCAGCAUUCAUUACUUUCCUUUGCUGUCAUGUUAGCCAAUCUUCUAGGUGUGAGGUGAUACCUCAGAGUUGUUUUGAUUUGCAUUUCUCUGAUUAUAAGAGAUUUAGAACACUUUUUCAUGUUCUUAUUAAUAGUUUUGAUUUCUUUGGCUGAAAA